ensembl:lncRNA
CACCACCACACCCAGCAGCAGCGCCCUGCCGGGCACCGCCGCAGCCACGGGAGGACGAGGAGGGACCCGCAGCACGCACAGACGUCCCCAAAACCUCCCGGCACGGAGCUGAGCUGCUCUUCCAACGGCCAUCUUCUCAAUCUGCUCCCGGCCCCGUGGCAAAUAUCUGCUGAGAGACGGUCGCCGCGCCGCCCCGCGUACCAUCACCACUCGCUUCACGGUUCUUUUUAACUUUUUUUUUUUUCCUUUUUAAUUUUUUUUUUUUUUCAUCUUCUAUUUUAAAAGAGAAGCCGGCGAGGUGGGUUUUCUUUUCCGCCAACGAGAGAAGCUGCCCCUCAGUGCAGAGCGGAGCAGCUGGGGAGCGAAGCGCCUCGGAACCGCGCCGGGGAGCGGCCGCAUCCCGACGAGUCGCCCUCCGCUGUCACGGAGUGAUGGACCACUCAAUAUGAGGGGAUCACUGCAGCCAACUCCUGCGCCCGUUACCCCGGGGCGGCCGGAAGCACGCGGGCAGAUGCUUUGAUAGAGUCGCGCUCUCAAACCGUCCCUUCCGGGGCGACAGAAAUCUGGAAGCUCCACAAACCCGGCGUUCCCCUUCCGGAUAAAAGCCUUUUGCCCGUCUCCUACACAAUCCAAGCCAUUGAAAAAGAAAAACAAAAACAAAAACCAACCAAGCGAAACAACCACCUCAUAUCUAUACACACAUACAGGGCUGUGUGUAUACAGACACAGAAGGAACAACCGAACCGCCGCCACGCGAAGCCCGGCUCUGCCCGCUGGCGUUGGGGAGCAGGAGGGGAGUCGGCUCCCACCACCGAGCACGGCAGACCACCACCACAACCCCUCUCCUCCCCUCGCGGGGUGCAUCCGGGCCUCGCUCAGCCUCUCCGUGUGGCUGCGGCCAGAAAACACCGCACCGCUCUGCUUGUUCUCUCUUUGUUGCUGCGAGAUUUCUUCCCCCGACGCGCUCUGCUCUUCUCACCCGUGUGCUGGAAGGUCAAAUGGAGCUGUGGGAGGUUUCUGUACAUAGAUACAGCGCUCAGAGCCGGCGCCGGGUGGGACAGAUGUGCUGGGUGUUGGGUUUUUUUUGGCUUGCGUGAUGUUUGCCUCUUCCCUUUUCCACGUGGCUCCUAAGCGGCGCUACCACGGAGUAAGAAAGGAGAGGUACCGCCCGCGUCGGCGCAAGAACCGGAGUGGCUCCCAGCAGCUGAGCAACAGAAAGUCCAUCAGCACCGAAGCGAGGGGACGCGGCGCUGCUGGCGCGGACACACACAGCAAUACAGCAGGACAUCACUGGGACAGCUGCCUUACAGUACAAAAUACAGUACGAGUGUACGGCGCCGGGCGGACACGCAGGAAUUACUAUUGCUCCCGGGAGGGCGUCGGAAACCGAGUCCUUUCGUGAUGGAGGAGAGUUAAAAACAGGAAAACGGAAGAGAGUCCUGGUUAAAAAUUCCCUUCAAAAGGGGCGGCGGGGGGCGCGUGGGGACGGCCCCGCUGGGAUGAGCCGCCCUCGGCCGUGCCUCACUUCUGCCAAUAAAUACGGAGCAAACGGAGCGGGGCGGCCGGGAGAGGGAUGGAGACAAUAAAUUAAGAAGGCAGCUGAAAUGAGAGGGCGGGCGUGCGUGGUGUGAGACAGAACCGGAGGGACGACGACGGUCCUACGAGAGCCUGGGAGGCGUCACACAGCAAUAGCUGGAACUUUGGAAUGAACAGCGGGCUCCCAUUCAGUUCAAAGUUAGGAGUACGGCGUGUUGGCUUAAAAAAAACCCCGCUGUGCAGGGCGGGACUGAGCCGAUUGCUUUAAAAAAUAAAGACCAUUCGAGAGUGAAAAUCCAUUUAAUAACAGAGGAGAGCGCCGAGAGGCCCCGCUGUGCUCCGCGGCGGCAGGAGCCGCGCUGGCGGAACGUCGAAGUGGUCAUUAAGAAUAAUUAAAAAAGGGGGAGAGAGGACAAAAAAUUAAAAAAAAAAAAA